rnacentral:rRNA from 1 species
AGAGUUUGAUCCUGGCUCAGAGUGAACGCUGGCGGCGUGCUUAACACAUGCAAGUCGAACGAAUACGACCGGAGCUUGCUUCGGUACGGUUAGUGGCAGACGGGUGAGUAAUACAUAGGAAUCUGCCUCGAAGUAUGGGAUAACUGUUGGAAACGACAGCUAAUACCGUAUAUUGCCUACGGGUGAAAGAUUUAUCGCUU